rnacentral:rRNA from 1 species
AUGGAGAGCCUGCGGGUGCACGCCGACGCGCUGCUCUCGCUGUCCUCGCCCGCCGCCUCGUCCACGGCGCCGGCGAGCAGCGGCAGCAUCAGCAAGCCGGUGACGGCGGCGACGACCGCGGCGGGCAGGAGGGCGCUGGCGGCGGAGGGCGUGUUCGAGUGCAAGACGUGCAGCAAGCGGUUCACGUCGUUCCAGGCGCUGGGCGGGCACCGCACCAGCCACACGCGGCUGCAGGCGCGGAUGCUGCUGCACGAUCAGGCCGCCGACGUCCCGGGCGCCGCCGAGAGGGACAGGGCGCGGGUGCACGAGUGCGCCGUCUGCGGGCUCGAGUUCUCCAUGGGCCAGGCGCUGGGCGGCCACAUGCGCCGGCACAGGGGCGAGGCGCCGCCGGGGCCGUCGACGUCGUCGGCUGCCGUGCACGGCGAAGCCAGCUCCGGCGCGACGCAGCAGCAGGAGGUCAUGCCCGACCUGAACUACCCGCCGAUGGACGACUGCGGCGGCGACGGGCAAGAAACGUCGGCCGAUCGCAGCUCCGGGCAUCAUCAGCUGCUUGAUCUGCUUGUGUAG